GCCAUGCAUGCAUCCAUUGCAAGCAGUGGAGAAACCAAGCAACAUCACCACGAGCCUUUGCUAAGGACACUAGGACAGUUGUUCACAUCCUUGCGACUCGCAAGUGUUGUCAACAGGACGAGCGCUGCGCCAAUUGGUCCUCUGGUCACCAGAACACUGAAAUGAGUGCUCUAUUGUCGGCGACGAGCUUAGGAAAGAAUCCAGCGUAUUUGGAUAUUGGGCCGUGCAAGAAAGGCGAGUUUAAGGCUACCUACACGGAGAGCAAGGUAGCAUAGUCGGCUGUGCA